GGUUUCCUACGGGGGGCAGCAGUGAGGAAUAUUGGUCAAUGGGCGAGAGCCUGAACCAGCCAAGUCGCGUGAGGGAAGACGGUCCUAUGGAUUGUAAACCUCUUUUGCCGGGGAGCAAAAAGCGGUACGUGUACCGCAUCGAGAGUACCCGGAGAAAGAGCAUCGGCUAACUCCGUGCCAGCAGCUGCGGUAAUACGGAGGAUGCGAGCGUUAUCCGGAUUUAUUGGGUUUAAAGGGUGCGUAGGCUGAAUGUCAAGUCAGCGGUAAAAAUUCCGGGCUCAACCCGGUCGUGCCGUUGAAACUGG
rnacentral:rRNA from 1 species